rnacentral:rRNA from 1 species
AACGAACGCUGGCGGCAGGCCUAACACAUGCAAGUAGAGCGAGGAGUUCAGUCCUAGCGGCGGUCGACUGUGGAACGUGUGGGAACGAGCCCUUUGUUACGGAAUAGUAAUGGGACACGGAGAGUAAUACCAGAUGAGCACACGGGGGGUAAGAUUGAACGAUGAAGGUUCUUCCCGCGUUGGUUUAAGUAGUUGGUGAGGUAACGGCCCACCUAGGCGACGAUCCUUAGCUGACUUGUGAGGGUGAUAAGCCACACUGUGAGUGAGACACGGCCCAGACUACUACGGGAGGCAGCAGUAGGGAAGCUUCGGCAAGGGGCGAAAGUCUGACCGAGCAACGCCGCGUGAGUGAAGAAGGUGUUCGGAUCGUAAAGCUCUGUUGUAAGAGAAGAACGGGUGUGAGAGUGGAAAGUUCACACUGUGACGGUAUCUGACCAGAAAGGGACGGCUAACUACGUG